GACCUCUUAUUGCCCCGCUUGGAUGAAGACCUCUGCCGGUCUGGAUGUCCUCUUCUGCUCCAUCGGAUGAAGACUUCGGCCCGGCUGGGUGAACACGACUCAAGCUGAGGACCACCUUAUACCCACACCUGACCAUGCACAUGGACCCUACAGCUACCCUUGAGCAUCCUGAGUCUCAGUCUGUUGCUGAGCCAUAAAGUCCCAGCCUUAUUCCACCUCAACCCCAUACCACUUAAACUACACCCUCAGCACUCCCAGUCCCAGCCAGUUAGUUCUAUCAAUGCAGGAAGCUCAUGUAGUAGUAUUUAUUAAAGUCUAUAGUGAAGUAAUAAGUGGAAAGGUCCACCCCAUGAUGUGGGACAACAAAAAGCUAAAACAGAUUACAGCACAUCUCAAAAUACAGAGUCUUAAAUACAUUCCUGGACCUCUGCUGUGUAAACAAUGUUUGCAGUUCCUGCAGUGGCGUCACUAGGGUUGGUGUCACCCGGUGCGGUAAGUCAUGGUGUCACCCCCCCCGAAAGCAGACACACACAAAAACACAGGCAAACACACAUACAAACACUCAGACACACUUAAAAACAUACUCAGAUGCACACACAAACACUCGGAAACACACUCAGACACACACACAAAAACACACACACAAAAACACUGAGACACACAAAAACUCAGACACACACAUACAAAAUAUGUAAACUGCACUGCAUUAAUUAUGAAGCUCAUGCCUAGAGCUGCUCCCUGGCUCAGCAGAACAUCAAAUGAAAGAUAAACAGAGCACUCUAAAAUAAAUCACCGAAGAAAAGGUUUAGGAGCGCAAACUAUGAAAAUUCUGCUCUCUGACUCUGUUCCAAGUCUGUCAGUGCACAGCCCUGGGCCGCAUGUCACUGAGCAGUGAGCACAGAUAGGCAGGCAGGUUUAGGCUAGCAGCGCAACUUUGCAAGCCCCACGGCACACCCACAACAUUCAUAGUGAAAUUGGGCAGGGGAGGAGCAAAGUACAAACAAGCAAAAGAACUAUUUGUUGAAAUUGCAGCCCUGGCUCAAGGGGCAAAAAAAUUGUGUGUCUACAACUUCCCCAGUCCCACUAAUGUUCACAAAUGCCAGCCUCUAAUAAAAUAAUCUAUGCAUCUCAA